rnacentral:rRNA from 1 species
GAUGAACGCUGGCGGCGUGCCUCAAACAUGCAAGUCGAGCGGGGCUAUGUAAUAUCGCAAGGUAGAACAUAGCCUAGCGGCGAACGGGUGAGUAACACGUGGGUAACCUGCCUGGAAGACAGGGAUAACGAUUCGAAAGGGUCGCUAAUACCUGAUAAUAUCCUUUCAUCGCAUGGUGAUAGGAAGAAAGGGGAAACCCGCUUUCAGAUGGGCCCGCGUCCCAUCAGCUAGUUGGUAAGGUAAAGGCUUACCAAGGCGACGACGGGUAGCCGGUCUGAGAGGAUGUACGGCCACACUGGGACUGAGAUACGGCCCAGGACUCCUACGGGAGGCAGGCAGUUGGGAAUCUUAGGCAAUGGACGAAAGUCUGACCUAGCGACGCCGCGUGAGGGAAGAAGGCCUUCGGGUUGUAAACCUCUGUCAUGGGGAAGAAGUAAGUGACGGUACCCCAAGAGGAAGCCCCUGCUAACUACGUG